AGUCCUGUGGGUCCUGAAAGGUGUUGGGUCCACCACUAUGGACCAGAGUCCUGUGGGUCCUGAAAGGUGUUGGGUCCACCACUAUGGACCAGAGUCCUGUGGGCCCUGAAAGGUGUUGGGUGUACCAUUAUAGACCAGAGUCCUGUGGGUCCUGAAAGGUGUUUGGUGCACCACUAUGGACCAGAGUCCUGUGGGUCCUGAAAGGUGUUGGGUCCACCACUAUGGACCAGAGUCCUGUGGGUCCUGAAAGGUGUUGGGUCCACCAAUAUGGACCAGAGUCCUGUGGGUCCUGAAAGGUGUUGGGUCCACCAAUAUGGACCAGAGUCCUGUGGGUCCUGAAAGGUGUUGGGUGUACCAUUAUGUACCAGAGUCCUGUGGGUCCUGAAAGGUGUUGGGUCCACCAAUAUGGACCAGAGUCCUGUGGGUCCUGAAAGGUGUUGGGUCCACCACUAUGGACCAGAGUCCUGUGGGCCCUGAAAGGUGUUGGGUCCACCACUAUGGACCAGAGUCCUGUGGGUCCUGAAAGGUGUUGGGUGUACCAUUAUGGACCAGAGUCCUGUGGGUCCUGAAAGGUGUUGGGUCCACCACUAUGGACCAGAGUCCUGUGGGUCCUGAAAGGUGUUGGGUCCACCACUAUGGACCAGAGUCCUGUGGGUCCUGAAAGGUGUUUGUGGGUCCUGAAAGGUGUUGGGUCCACCACUAUGGACCAGAGUCCUGUGGGUCCUGAAAGGUGUUUGUGGGUCCUGAAAGGUGUUGGGUGUACCAUUAUGGACCAGAGUCCUGUGGGCCCUGAAAGGUGUUGGGUGUACCAAUAUGGACCAGAGUCCUGUGGGCCCUGAAAGGUGUUUGUGGGUCCUGAAAGGUGUUGGGUCCACCAUUAUGGACCAGAGUCCUGUGGGUCCUGAAAGGUGUUGGGUCCACCACUAUGGACCAGAGUCCUGAGGGUCCUGAAAGGUUUGGGUCCACCACUAUGGACCAGAGUCCUGUGGGUCCUGAAAGGUGUUGGGUCCACCACUAUGGACCAGAGUCCUGAGGGUCCUGAAAGGUUUUGGGUGUACCAUUAUGGACCAGAGUCCUGUGGGUCCUGAAAGGUGUUGGGUCCACCACUAUGGACCAGAGUCCUGUGGGUCCUGAAAGGUGUUGGGUGUACCACUAUGGACCAGAGUCCUGUGGGUCCUGAAAGGUGUUGGGUCCACCACUAUGGACCAGAGUCCUGUGGGUCCUGAAAGGUGUUGGGUCCACCAUUAUGGACCAGAGUCCUGUGGGUCCUGAAAGGUUUUGGG